rnacentral:rRNA from 1 species
GUUGGCUCAAAUGGAAGGAAUAUAUUAAGGAAAGAUUGGUAGAUUGGGAUGAAUAUUGGAGGGAAAAGAGGAGAGAGAAAGUAAAAUUUUUCUUUUUUCUUUCACUCUGAUUAUUAGUUUCUUUUUAUUGAACUUUCAUUUAAUUCAAUUUAAUACUUGGUAUAUUCAUUUACUUCUAACUUUGAACUGUUACUAACUAGGGGAAUCCGACUGUUUAAUAAAACAAAGCAUUGAGAAUUUUUUUUGGAUUGAAAUUGUCUUUAACUCAAUGUGAUUUCUGCCCAGUGCUCUGAAUGUCAUAGUGAAGAGAUUCGAAGAAGCGCGGGUUAACGGCGGGAGUAACUAUGACUCUCUUAAGGUAGCCAAAUGCCUCGUCAUCUAAUUAGUGACGUGCAUGAAUGGAUUAACGAGAUUCCUACUGUCCCUAUCUACUAACUAGUGAAACCACAGUACAGGGAACGGGCCGGGCAAUGUAUAGCGGGGAAAGAAGACCCUAUUGAGCUUGACUCUAGUUUGUAUUUGUGAAAUGAUAUUAAGGGUGUAGCAUAAGUGGGAGAAGAAAUUCGAUCUUGAAAUACCACUACCGUAAUCAUUGCUUUACUAAGGAGAUAAUAGAUAAAACAUAUAAUAGUAAUAUUAUAAGUAUUAAAAGGAAUUUUAACAAUUGAAAUGAAGGUAUGAGUGACACUUUUAGAAAGUAUAUCAGGAGUUUAUGAAGUGUUCAAGAUUGUAAGAAGCAAUUUUUAUAAUCUUGUUUACAUUUCACUUUUGGUAUUUCUUUUUGAAUAGCUUGUAUCCUCUCUUUUGGUUGAACUUUGUCUAUCUUCAACAUUUUCAGAUGGGGAGUUUGGCUGGGGCGGCACAUUUGUGAAAUGAUAGCGCAAGUGUCCAAAGGUAUACUCAAAAAGGACAGAAACCUUUUGUAGAGGAGAAGGCUAAAUAGUAUACUUGAUUAUGAUAUUCAGUAAAUAUAAUAACUAUGAAAGUAUGGCCUAUCGAUCCUUUAGAGGGGUAAGAGGAAGUAAUUAAGAUCGAUUUAUAACCCUGUAUAUAACCAUUUUUUUAUUCUAGAGGUGUCAGAAAAGUUACCAUAGGGAUAACUGGCUUGUGGCAGCCAAGAGUUCAGAUCGACGUUGCUUUUUGAUCCUUCGAUGUCGGCUCUUCCUAUCAUUAUCAAGCAGAAUUGAUAAAGCGUUGGAUUGUUCACCCAUUAAAAGGGAACGUGAGCUGGGUUUAGACCGUCGUGAGACAGGUUAGUUUUAUCCUCCUAUAGAGUAUAGUAAUCUAAAUCAACUUUAAUAUUGUAUUUAUAAAUUAAAAUAAUAAAGAU